AAUCUCUAGCAGAUAGCAGUUGGAUUUUAUUUUCCACCUUCCGGGUGUCGGAUUGAUAUGAAACUUCAAAUCUAGCCUCAUAAAAAUAUUUCCGACAUAUUUUUUAAUUUUCAUAAUUUUUCGACAUUGUGCAUUUUCUGCUAAAAUAUCAGCUCCGUUUCUUAUAGAAAAUUCUAAAUCUUCUGUUUUCAUUCCAAUUUCAGCACAAGCUAUUUCUGACUUAUAUUUUACUCUCUAAAUCCAAUAAAAAUAGUAUCUCACACUAUUUUUAUUUAUUUUUGCUUUUAUAUCAAAAUUCGAUAUGUUACAUUCUCCACCCUUUAAAAAGAGUUUCGUCCGUGAAACUCCAAACAC
rnacentral:lncRNA from 1 species